rnacentral:rRNA from 1 species
AUGUUCCCUUGCACUAACAAUGCAGCUGAAUAUGAGGCCUUGCUCCACGGUCUUCGGAUGGCUAAGGAGAUGAACUUAAGCCGGGUUAAGUGUUUUGGGGAUUCAGAUCUAGUGGCCCAACAGGUGUCUGGCACUUGGGAUUCUAAAGACCCACUCAUGGCUGCAUAUCGACGAGAGGUGGACACAAUGGCUGGUCACUUCAAGGGUUAUCAGGUGGACCAUAUAGACCGGCGAAAGAAUGAAGCGGCAGACGCUUUAAGCCGCCUUGGUUCUCAGCGUAAACCGGUCCCACCAAAUGUCUUUCUUGACGUGCUGCAUAAUCCGUCGGUCAAGGUACCAACAGAGGAGGAGUUGGCUAUUCCUGACCCGGAGGCUCAAUUGGUGGCAAAUUUGCAUAUCAUACCGGAUUGGACAAUCCCAUACCUGGCUUACAUGAACCGGGGCGAGUUACCAGAGGAUGAAACCUCGGCCCGGCAGAUAAUCCGGUGUUCCAAAUUGAUGACUAUACUCAACGGAUAA